CAGCACUAAAUUGAAUUACUUGGUUUUCACCAUACACAGUACAGACUACUAGUCCUAGACACCACCAUUGAGAUGUAAGCCUUGUAUGGAUGUGUAGGAGCACAACCCUUCUCUGAGUUCAUCCUCGACGUCUUGUCAAGAUAAGUUUAUUUUUCACACACUCUUUGCCCUUUUUUUGCAUGAAUGUAUAAAGUUGAAGAAGCCUGAGUAAGUUAAUUGGUAGCUUUGAAAGCAAACCAUGUCAUGUCAACGGGCGAAUGAGGAUGUGGCGUGAACAAGAAAAUGGUGAACUCAAUGAUAAAGUAACGAUCCCAUCGAAGACAAACAGAGCGUGGCGGUACAACGGGGCUAAGAAAGUGGUGAAGUACGUUGCUAUCAAUUUGAUAACAAUUGGAAAUUAGGUUCUAAUUACAAAUCCAUCAUUUUAAUAUUGCAUUAUCUAUUCAAUCAUUAUUGUGCAUUGCCUUUAUAGAUAUUCUUGUGAAAAAAACAUUGACUAUAAUUGAACGUUUCUUCAAAAUCUAUAUAUGUACUGUACUAUAGUUAUAUAUUAUGCAUUAAAGAAUGUGAA
rnacentral:sRNA from 2 species